rnacentral:rRNA from 1 species
UUUCUUCGGAAUGAAACUAGAUAUGACUUAGUGGCGGACGGGUGAGUAACACGUGAGCAACCUGCCUUUCAGAGGGGGAUAACGGCUGGAAACGGUCGCUAAUACCGCAUAACGCGUAGAGGUCGCAUGGCCUUUACGCCAAAGAUUUAUCGCUGAAAGAUGGCCUCGCGUCUGAUUAGCUAGUUGGUGAGGUAACGGCCCACCAAGGCGACGAUCAGUAGCCGGACUGAGAGGUUGAACGGCCACAUUGGGACUGAGACACGGCCCAGACUCC